rnacentral:tRNA from 1 species
GCCCCGGUAGCCCAAUUAGGCAGUAGGCAACGGAUUCAAAACCCGUACAGUGUGGGUUCGAGUCCCACCCGGGGCACCA